CGUGAUGACCACCCCUCCCUAUCACAACUUUGUAAGAUACAGCAAGUCACACCAUGUUACUCAGUUCUUGUCACACACAAACAGGCAAGUAGCAAGCAGUUGUUUAAUUUCAUAAUGAUGCUCCAGUGCACAAAUGCAGACACCUCACACAACCAACAUCAGAUAAUAUUUAAUCAUAUAUAUGCUAAUGGCUAUAAUGUAAAAUACAGAAUCCAACAAGAGUA